GAUGAACGCUGGCGGCGUGCUUAACACAUGCAAGUCGAACGGAAAGGCUCCUGCUUGCAGGGGUACUCGAGUGGCGAACGGGUGAGUAACACGUGGGUGAUCUGCCCUGCACUUCGGGAUAAGCCUGGGAAACUGGGUCUAAUACCGGAUAGGACCACAUUUUGGAUGGUGUGGUGGAAAGUUUUUCGGUGUGGGAUGAGCUCGCGGCCUAUCAGCUUGUUGGUGGGGUAAUGGCCUACCAAGGCGUCGACGGGUAGCCGGCCUGGGAGGGUGUACGGCCACAUUGGGACUGAGGUACGGAGCAGUCUCCUACGGGAGGCAGCGGUGGGGAAUCUUGCACAAUGGGCGCAAGCCUGAUGCGGCGACGCCGCGUGGGGGAUGACGGCCUUCGGGUUGUAAACUCCUUUCGCUAGGGACGAAGCGCAAGUGACGGUACCUGGAGAAGAAGCACCGGCUAACUACGUG
rnacentral:rRNA from 1 species